AUUGAACGCUGGCGGCAGGCCUAACACAUGCAAGUCGAACGAGUGGCGAACGGGAGAAUAAUGUCGGUGAAACUGCUAGAUGGAGGGGGAAAAUUCCUGGAAACGGUAGCUAUAACCGCAUACCAUCCGCUGUGCCCAGAUGGGAUUAUCUAGUAGGUGGGGUAAAGGCUAACCUAUGAGCCGAGCCCUAGCUGGUCUGCGAGGAUGACGGGCCACCCGGGAACUGGGCACCGGUCAAGACGCCUACGGGAGGCAGAAGUGGGGAAUAUUGCACAAUGGGCGCAAGCCUGAUGCAGCCAUGCGGCGUGUAUGAAGAAGGUCUUCGGGUGGUAAAGUACGUUCAGCAGGGAGGCGGUACCCGAAGAAGAAGCACCGGCUAACUCCGUGCCAGCCGCCGCGGUAAUUC
rnacentral:rRNA from 1 species